UAUAUUGGUCUUUGAUGAGAAGCAAUGGCGGAUCAACAUCUGUUGUUGCCUUUUAGUUCUGGUAAAGUAACUGCCUUGGAUAUUCAAAUUCAAUCUUAUCGGAUCCUAUUAGUUCUGGUAGAGCAACUGCUUUGAGCAGUUGCUUUCAGUUUCUUUACAGUUCUAGUGUUCUACCUAUAUAUAUAUAUAUAAGUCUGAAGGUAUUCCCUACUCAUUGUUCUUAGCAAAUCUUAUUAGAUUUUCAUACAAACAGGAAGAUAUUGAGGGAAGCCAAGGAAGAACCAAGUCACAACUUGAUUUUACAGUAGAUGCAAGGCCUAUUGCAAGAUCGUUGGUAGGGAGACGUACCAUGUGGAUUAUCCGCAGCAGCAAUCUUCAAAUGAUGAACCGCAAAUAGAUCAAGAUGGAUUUGAAAUCAUUAGUAAAAAGUCUCACGACCUUAAAUAGAAUUAACCACAUUUUACGAAAAAUAGAGUUGUGGUCGACCGGAUGUUAGACAAAGCUGCUUCCCGACUGCAUACAUCUUUUCGUCAGGUACAGGCAGGGGAUGAUUCAAGGCCUUCUAAGAAGCAACAUUUUCCUGCCGAGACGAAACCUUUUUGUUACUACUGCUGCAAUUCUAGGAGAAAUAAACAGCAGCGAUGGAAGUGAUCCGUGAUGAAAAUGUCAUGGAAAGGUUUUGAAGGUGGUGGUUGUUUUAGUUUUGUCAGGCUUGUCCGUCUUCCUUUCUUUGUUCUUUGAGUUGUCAUUUGUCUCUGACUUCUCUUCUUCUGUAAUCUUUUGGUCUUAACAAAUUUGUUUGCUGCAAAAAA